rnacentral:misc_RNA from 1 species
AAGUCGUAACAAGGUUUCCGUAGGUGAACCUGCGGAAGGAUCAUUGAAGUUAGCAGCUCGCACGGCUCGAUGCUGGCCCCCCGUUUCCGCGGCGGGCACGUGCUCGCCGUGCGGCUUCUUCCACGUCUCCACAUCCACCCCUGUGCACCUUUUUGGCAAAGGCGUCUCCCUCCUCGUGAGGAAAAGCUCUCGGGAAGCUCGUCUCUUCCCUCCGGGCCGGGACGUUUUUUUUCCUUUGCCGUUCACACAUCAGAUGCCUGUUUUCACGCAUGUUUUUUUUUUUAUAUCGGGCUCUCAAGGGAGCUCGAAAAAGUUGAACACAACUUUCAACGACGGAUCUCUUGGCUUUC